GGGAUGAGUAUCACAGCUGUAACUCAGCAGAGGAAAGCUCUGCCGGGGCUCUGUCGUCUCUCCCCUCUCUCCCAGCCCCCGAUGACCGCACCGCGAUGGACCCUUUCACCAAAAGUUUCCCCAUGUUUUGCUCUGCUCCUUCUAUCACGAAACAAAACCCCGCCCGGGGAGAAGAGAGAUUUCAGCUCUCCUGGAAAACCGCUGUGUGUGCAGAGCUGCCUUCCUGUGUCCGCAGAGCCGUGCUCGUAAUCAGUCUCAGCCACUACAUCUUGAUGGCACCUGGCAACUCGUGGCAGAAGAGGAAGGAAACUGAUCAUUUCCUGUCAAGAAUGCCCUACUCAGGGGAUGCCAAAGAUUCACAUCUCUUGCAACUCACCGAGUGGGAUGGGACAUGCUAAUAAACAUGUAUGUUUUGCCAUCUGUACUCUGGUAUCCUGCAUUCAAAAUAAAAAAUAAUAAGGCUUGC
rnacentral:lncRNA from 7 species